rnacentral:rRNA from 1 species
CCUGGCUCAGGAUGAACGCUGGCGGCGUGCCUAACACAUGCAAGUCGAACGGAGAUUAGACGCUGAUGAGGCUUCGGCGGAUUCUGUUUAAUCUUAGUGGCGGACGGGUGAGUAACGCGUGGGCAACCUGCCUCGUACUGGGGGAUAGCAGUUGGAAACGACUGAUAAUACCGCAUAAGCGCACAGAGUCGCAUGACUCAGUGUGAAAAACUCCGGUGGUACGAGAUGGGCCCGCGUCAGAUUAGCUAGUUGGUAAGGUAACGGCUUACCAAGGCGACGAUCUGUAGCCGGACUGAGAGGUCGGACGGCCACAUUGGGACUGAGACACGGCCCAAACUCCUACGGGAGGCAGCAGUGGGGGAUAUUGCACAAUGGGGGAAACCCUGAUGCAGCGACGCCGCGUGAGUGAAGAAGUAUUUCGGUAUGUAAAGCUCUAUCAGCAGGGAAGAAAGGCCCGCAAGGGAGAUGACGGUACCUGACUAAGAAGCCCCGGCUAACUACGUGCCAGCAGCGGC